rnacentral:tRNA from 1 species
GGUUCGGUGGUGUAGUUGGUUAUCACGUCACGCUCACACCGUGGAGGUCCCGAGUUCGAACCUCGGCCGAAUCA